rnacentral:rRNA from 1 species
GGCCCGCACAAGCGGUGGAGCAUGUGGUUUAAUUCGAUGCAACGCGAAGAACCUUACCUACUCUUGACAUCCAGAGAAUUUAGCAGAGAUGCUUUAGUGCCUUCGGGAACUCUGAGACAGGUGCUGCAUGGCUGUCGUCAGCUCGUGUUGUGAAAUGUUGGGUUAAGUCCCGCAACGAGCGCAACCCUUAUCCUUUGUUGCCAGCGAUUCGGUCGGGAACUCAAAGGAGACUGCCGGUGAUAAACCGGAGGAAGGUGGGGAUGACGUCAAGUCAUCAUGGCCCUUACGAGUAGGGCUACACACGUGCUACAAUGGCGUAUACAAAGAGAAGCGACCUCGCGAGAGCAAGCGGAACUCAUAAAGUACGUCGUAGUCCGGAUUGGAGUCUGCAACUCGACUCCAUGAAGUCGGAAUCGCUAGUAAUCGUAGAUCAGAAUGCUACGGUGAAUACGUUCCCGGGCCUUGUACACACCGCCCGUCACACCAUGGGAGUGGGUUGCAAAAGAAGUAGGUAGCUUAACCUUCGGGAGGGCGCUUACCACUUUGUGAUUCAUGA